rnacentral:lncRNA from 1 species
UACACUUCCAUAUCAUUGAAGGAAGACAGGAGAGAGCAGGAACUUGGAGGCAGGAGUUGAUGCAGAGGCCAUGGAAGGGUGCUGCUUACUGGCUUGCCCCACUUGGCUUGCUCAGCCUGCUUUCUUAUAGAACCCAGGGCUACCAUCCCAGGGAUAGCACCACCCACCGUGGGCUGGGUCUUUCUCAUCAAUCACUGAUUAAGAAAUAUGCCCUACAGGCUUGCCUGCAGUCCAGUCUAUGGAGGCAUUUUUCUCAAUUGAGGGUCCCUUCUCUCAGCUGACUUUAGCUUGUGUCAAGUUGACAUAAAACUAGUCAGCACACCAACCAAGGUUAUGCUCGAUGACUUCAUAAUCAAGGGUGGAAGAUGGGUCAAGGGAAGAUAGAUACCUGUGCUCAGAAAGGGAGGGUGGGUGUGAGCAGUAGGCAUGGUGACAGCUGCUACAUGCUAGGGCAACACUUACUCCAGGGCCUGGCCAAACACCUGCAAUCAUACAAUGGGGGGUGCUUCCUUCUCAUGAGGGGCAAGGAUGAGGAACAAAGCCAAAAUUACAUUGAGCUCUUUUCUUAGGCUCCUGUGACCUUAAUGAGCCUAAGCAGGUCAGUGAGGUAGGUGACAGUGUCAAGUGCCCACGAGGCCUGUAGACUGGUUCUCCAAAAGCUGUAAACAGAAUAAAGUGGAGCGGAUAACGAUGGGGACCUCAGAGCUCACUCAGUCAAGGUCACACUCCAAUGACCACUGUGGACACUGAGAAGAUCAUUCAUUUACAUUCUGCUUAGCUCUAGAGUUGACCAAGCGCUGGCUCCUUCAUGGACCGCCAGGAAAGGGGACUUGGACAACACCUAAGAAAGACAAAUAGCUACCAAAGGCUGAAGGAAAAACAACAACAACAACCAACCUCAACUUAUCAACUGUCCUUCCUCAUCUCUGAGGUUUUGACCCAUCAGAGCCAGGCAGCAGGGGGAGGAGAAAUGCCUUCCGGCCAUGCUGCCAUCAGGAAAGGCAGAAUGGGGGCGGCUGAGGUAAGGUGGCGGGCAGGGAAGCACUUCUUCUUACAAGGGCCUGCUUCCAGAAGGAUCUGACCCUCCUGUAAAGGUCUGAGGCUCUAGAUCAAAGAACUGAGUCAGGGCCUGUGUGCUGACCCUGUUUAGGAUGCGGACAUGUCUAUCUCCUAUGAACAUGGCACCGGGCUCCAUGGAGCAGCACUUGUCCCCUGCGGAAGAGAGGGCACAGACAUCACUGUAACGUCCAGCGUACACAGGAAGAAAACAGAGCUUGUGGUCAAUAACAGGAUUUGUAGGAUGGGGAUUCCCAGCCAGCAGGGACAGCCAUCUUGAAGACACUCGAGAACUCUGUGAGGACUGCCAGGAUGCUCUUUGAACAUGACUUUGGUGAUCUGUGGGCAUCUCUGCCCCUCUCCCACAUCACCAGUGUUUAUUAACAUCAUGGGUUUAAAAAAAUCUUUUCUAAUUUGAAC